GUGACAGCCGCCGCGGUAAUACGUAGGGGGCGAGCGUUGUCCGGAGUUACUGGGCGUAAAGCGCGCGCAGGCGGUUUGUUAAGCUUGCACUGACAGCUCCUGGCUUAACCCGGAGAGGCGUGUGAAAACUGGCAGACUUGAGGGCCUCAGAGGGACAUGGAAUUCCAGGUGGAGCGGUGAAAUGCGUAGAGAUCUGGAGGAACACCAAUAGCGAAGGCAGUGUCCUGGGAGGCACCUGACGCUCAGGCGCGAAAGCCAGGGGAGCGAACGGGAUUAGAUACCCGUGUAGUCC
rnacentral:rRNA from 1 species